GGCCUGCUGGCCCAAUGGCAAGGCGCUUGACUACGAUUAAUGUCCCAUUAGUUGCAUCAAGAGAUUGCAGGUUCGAUCCCUGCGUAGGUCA
rnacentral:tRNA from 1 species